GACAGAGGGUGCAAACGUUGUUCGGAAUCACUGGGCGUAAAGCGCACGUAGGCGGCUUUCUAAGUCAGGGGUGAAAUCCUGGAGCUCAACUCCAGAACUGCCUUUGAUACUGGAGAGCUUGAGUCCGGGAGAGGUGAGUGGAACUCCGAGUGUAGAGGUGAAAUUCGUAGAUAUUCGGAAGAACACCAGUGGCGAAGGCGGCUCACUGGCCCGGUACUGACGCUGAGGUGCGAAAGCGUGGGGAGCAAACAGG
rnacentral:rRNA from 1 species